UCUUUUUAUUCCUCUGUCUCUUCCCCGCGCCGCUCGAUCCCCUUUUCAUUUCGAACACGUAACCCAGAAGGCAACUGAGACUCUGAGAGAGAUAUCCAUGGCGAUUUGGAGCCCCCCCUCGCCGCUCGUUGGUUGGUGGUGACUCGUCGGCGCUCUCCCACCUGCUGCCCCGCUCCCUCCGCCUCGUCGUUGUUUCUCCAGCCCAAGGCCUGCAGCAUCUCUCCGCCCCGCAUCCACCUUGGCACCAUUAUUUCGCCGCUCGUCGGUUUUGUUCGAUUCGGUGUGAAAACAGAGUCGCCUGAAGCCGAUGACCGAGGAGAUGACAGUCAAUUUGAUGGUUUACAGAGAGGUGUAGCCUUGAGUGUGGUGUGGUAGGCUGACUGCUGUACCCACGCGACAGGGUGUGUGUGUGCUCUGUAUUUUUUAGCAUGUCAUGCCGUGUGUGAGAGGGUGUUUUGGAUAGUUUUGCCUGAUAAUGUUAGUUAGUUUUUUUUUUGUAGUUUUUGUGUAAUUUAUUUGUUAGGCACUUUAGUUAUUCAGUUGUAAUAUAAUUCUAAACAAACAUAUGGUAAAUGUUACAGCUAUAUAGCUGUUAGAAAUUUAUGCAUAUGCAUAAAGUUCUUUGCGCUUUUACGGCAGUAGUUUUGUAUUUUUAUGAUUUAGUUCAUGUAUUUUUUUGUAUUUGUCUGGCUGAUCUUUGUACGGAUCUGCCUUUGGUGUAUGUAAAUAUUCUUUUUUUGUAUUGUUUUACCUUUCUGCCAUUUCUUCUUAGCAUUUGUUCCUUUCUAUGUGUUUUUAUAUAUUUUGGAAAUAGAUUAAAGUAUGGGUAGAAUCAUGAAGGGUCUUGGUAAGGGCUUUUCUUCUGCUUGCUUAGAAGAGUCUGAUGAUUUGGAUGGGGAUCCUUUUGUCCCCAAUGAUUUCGCCGAGGACGAUUCUUUCCAAGCUUCAGAGGAAGGUUCAAUGGAUGAUCCUGAUUUUGACAAAGCUUUAAAGCGAAUUGCCUGAAACGGAAGAUAACAGAUGUUGGAGCUCGCAAUGUGGUAUUUAUGUUUCUUUGUUCUAUUCGCAUUUUCUGUACCCAACUACCACUCUGAUAGAGAUAGAUAUAAGUUUGAUAUAGAUUUAAAUUUGUUUUUUCCCCUUUGUUUGAUGUUUCUGCUAGAUGUUUUUUCAUUGUUGAUCUAGUGUAUUUGUAUCCUGAUUCCUUUUUUUGUUUCGUGUUUCUUGUUCUAUUGUAGAAGCGCACGAGGUCUUCUGAUUUUCCUGUAGCAAAUACAUUCGCUAGAUACUCUAGCAAGUUGUUCUCCACUGUUAUUGUCGGCUUGUCUCCUCGGCAAGUACGUGUUCUUCAGAGAUAUGGGGCAGAUUGCCUUCUCAAAUUUGUGAGGACAGAGGUGCCACUUAGGUUUGUCAAAUGGCUAGCAUCCAAAUUUGAUGUUCGUGCUUCAGUGAUUCAGAUUAGGAAAACGUUUAUUCCGAUUUGCGAAUAUGUCACCCAUGAUAUAUUAGGUCUUCCUGUUGACGGUGAGCCUAUUGUGUCUGAUGCUGAUGCUGGUUGUGAGUUUAUCUUGUCUCAUUUCAAUGUGACUAGCAUCCCACCAGUUUCAUUCUUCUGCAAUAAACUAAAAUCUACCUCUGAAGAAUUGCCCGAUGAAGACAUUUUCAUCUGCUUCAUGUGCAUUGCCUUGUCCACCUUCUUGUGUCCAAAUCCAAUAUUAGUACUCUGUAAUUCUGGAGUUUUUACUGUAAUCCAUGAUGGUUUUCAGUGUAACUAUUAGUUGAUUUUGCUCUGUAAUGCCUAGUGGAAUUACAGUGUACUUUAAUAGGCUUUACAUAGUAAAUCUUGGUGGAUUUACAGUGUAAUUUUACACAGAAUCCUAGUGGAUUUUUAGUGUACUUUUAGUUUAUUUUACAUGUUUUUUCUUAGUGGUAUUGCAGACAUUUUGUUUAGUGGUUUUUGCUGUGUAAUUCUUAGUCGAAUUUUAGUAUUUUUCUCAGUGGAUUUUUUAAUGUUAUUUAAGUGGUAUUUUUACAGUGUAUUUUCCAAGUGGUA